GGGACUGUGGGGAAACUAGGUAGACCCGUGGGCUUCAGAGGCCCAUCCGGUGUAAGCCGGGUGUCGGUUCGAUUCCGACCAGUCCCA
rnacentral:tRNA from 1 species